rnacentral:tRNA from 1 species
UGGUAAGUACAAAUGUAAUUCCUGCAAUGCAUAUGUAAGAUAAAUACCCGUCAUGGGGUGUCGGGGGGCGGAGGUUCAAAUCCUCUCGUGCCGACCA